AUGGCGUCAGGAGUGAACGCUAGCUACAGGCUUAACACAUGCAAGUCGAGGGGCGAGCAUGAUCGAAGCUGCUUGAUGAUGGCGACCGGCGCACGGGUGAGUAACGCGUAGUCCAACCUUCCCCUAUAGUAGAGGAUAGCCCGGCGAAAGUACGGAUUAAUACUCUAUGUUUUCCAAUGCAGACAUCUAAGUUGGAACAAAGGUUCACCGCUAUAGGAUGGGGAUGCGUCUGAUUAGGUAGUCGGCGGGGUAACGGCCCACCGAGCCAACGAUCAGUAGGGGUUCUGAGAGGAAGGUCCCCCACAUUGGAACUGAGACACGGUCCAAACUCCUACGGGAGGCAGCAGUGAGGAAUAUUGGUCAAUGGGCGAGAGCCUGAACCAGCCAAAGUAGCGUGCAGGAUGACGGCCCUAUGGGUUGUAAACUGCUUUUAUACGGGGAUAAAGUGAGGGACGUGUCCCUUUUUGUAGGUACCGUAUGAAUAAGGACCGGCUAAUUCCGUGCCAGCCGCCGC
rnacentral:rRNA from 1 species